UUGUCUCAGCCACCAUGAGUGGUGUCACCACC
rnacentral:piRNA from 1 species